UGAAUACGAGAUGCUACGGCGUCGAAGCAGUCUAUGUCAUACUUCCAAGAAAAGCUCGCACUGUCAUAAACAAAUAAUGCCUGUACCAUAACCGACACAGGUGGGUAGGUAGAGUAUACUAAGGGGCGCGAGAUAACUCUCUCUAAGGAACUCGGCAAAAUGACUCCGUAACUUCGGGAGAAGGAGUGCCUUAUUUAUAAGGUUGCAAUAACAAGAUCCAAGCAACUGUUUAUCAAAAACACAGGUCUCCGCUAAGUCGUAAGACGAUGUAUGGGGGCUGACGCCUGCCCAGUGCCAGAAGGUUAAAGAAGUUGGUUAGCAUUCGCGAAGCUGAUAACUGAAGCCCUGGUGAACGGCGGCCGUAACAAUAACGGUCCUAAGGUAGCGAAAUUCCUUGUCGGGUAAGUUCCGACCCGCACGAAAGGCGUAAUGAUUUGGAUACUGUCUCGGAGAGGGGCUCGGUGAAAUAGACUUGUCUGUGAAGAUGCGGACUACCUGCACCAGGACAGAAAGACCCUAUGAAGCUUUACUGUAACUUGAGAUUGAAAUUGGACUUUACUUGCACAGUAUAGGUGGGAGGCGUUGAUAAUAUUCUUGCGGGAUUAUUUGAGCCAUCAGUGAGAUACCACUCUUGUAAUGUUAGAUUUCUAACUUUGUAUCAUUAUCUGGUCAAAGGACAGUUUCAGGCGGGCAGUUUGACUGGGGCGGUCGCCUCCUAAACGGUAACGGAGGCGCACAAGGGUUUCCUCUGAACGGGUAGAAAUCGUAUCUAGAGUGUAAAGGCAUAAGGAAGCUUGACUGUGAGACCUACAAGUCGAGCAGGGACGAAAGUCGGUCUUAGUGAUCUGACGGUGCUGAGUGGAAAGGCCGUCACUCAACGGAUAAAAGUUACUCUAAGGAUAACAGGCUGAUCUCCCCCAAGAGUUCACAUCGACGGGGAGGUUUGGCACCUCGAUGUCGGCUCAUCGCAUCCUGGGGCGGUAGUACGUCCCAAGGGUUGGGCUGUUCGCCCAUGAAAGCGGUACGCGAGCUGGGUUCAGAACGUCGUGAGACAGUUCGGUCCAUAUCCGGUGUAGGCGUUAGAAUAUUGAGAGGAGCCUUCUUUAGUACGAGAGGACCGAGAAGGACAUACCUCUGGUGUACCAGUUAUCGUGCCAACGGUAAACGCUGGGUAGCUAUGUAUGGAGUGGAUAACCGCUGAAAGCAUCUAAGUGGGAAGCCCACCUCAAGAUAAGUAUUCUC
rnacentral:rRNA from 1 species